rnacentral:rRNA from 1 species
AGCAAGCCUAUGCUGUGAAUACAUUAGCAUGGAAUAACGCGAUAGGAUUUCGAUCCUGUUGUGUUGGCCUUCGGGAUGGGAGUAAUGAUUAAUAGGGACUGUCGGGGGCAUUCGUAUUUCAUUGUCAGAGGUGAAAUUCUUGGAUUUAUGAAAGACGAACUAGUGCGAAAGCAUUUGCCAAGGAUGUUUUCAUUAAUCAAGAACGAAAGUUGGGGGCUCGAAGACGAUCAGAUACCGUCCUAGUCUCAACCAUAAACGAUGCCGACCAGGGAUCGGCGGAUGUUGCUCUUAGGACUCCGUCGGCACCUUCCGAGAAAUCAGAGUGUUUGGGUUCCGGGGGGAGUAUGGUCGCAAGGCUGAAACUUAAAGGAAUUGACGGAAGGGCACCACCAGGAGUGGAGCCUGCGGCUUAAUUUGAAUGAACACGGGAAAACUUACCAGGUCCAGACAUAGUAAGGAAUAAGAGAUUGAGAGCUCUUUCUUGAUUCUAUGGGUGGUGGUGCAUGGC